AGUCGAGCGGUAGCACAGAGAGCUUGCUCUCGGGUGACGAGCGGCGGACGGGUGAGUAAUGUCUGGGAAACUGCCUGAUGGAGGGGGAUAACUACUGGAAACGGUAGCUAAUACCGCAUAANGUCGCAAGACCAAAGAGGGGGACCUUCGGGCCUCUUGCCAUCAGAUGUGCCCAGAUGGGAUUAGCUAGUAGGUGGGGUAAUGGCUCACCUAGGCGACGAUCCCUAGCUGGUCUGAGAGGAUGACCAGCCACACUGGAACUGAGACACGGUCCAGACUCCUACGGGAGGCAGCAGUGGGGAAUAUUGCACAAUGGGCGCAAGCCUGAUGCAGCCAUGCCGCGUGUAUGAAGAAGGCCUUCGGGUUGUAAAGUACUUUCAGCGAGGAGGAAGGCAUUGUGGUUAAUAACCACAGUGAUUGACGUUACUCGCAGAAGAAGCACCGGCUAACUCCGUGCCAGCAGCCGCGGUAAUACGGAGGGUGCAAGCGUUAAUCGGAAUUACUGGGCGUAAAGCGCACGCAGGCGGUCUGUCAAGUCGGAUGUGAAAUCCCCGGGCUCAACCUGGGAACUGC
rnacentral:rRNA from 1 species